rnacentral:rRNA from 1 species
GUCCACGCUGUAAACGAUGAAUACUAGGUGUCGGGUCGAAAGGCUCGGUACCGUAGCUAACGCAUUAAGUAUUCCACCUGGGGAGUACGAUCGCAAGGUUGAAACUCAAAGGAAUUGACGGGGCCCGCACAAGCAGUGGAGCAUGUGGUUUAAUUCGAUGCAACGCGAAGAACCUUACCUAGGCUUGAAAUGCAGUAGACCGGGUAUGAAAGUACCCUUCCCUUCGGGGCUGCUGUACAGGUGCUGCAUGGCUGUCGU